rnacentral:lncRNA from 1 species
GGCGGCCAUACACAGUUGUGCUCUUUGAUGAGAUUGAGAAGGCACACCCGGAUGUCUUCAACAUGAUGCUUCAGAUUUUGGAAGAUGGGAGAUUGACUGACAGCAAGGGAAGGACUGUGGACUUCAAGAACACACUACUGAUCAUGACCUCAAAUGUAGGGAGCAGCGUCAUCGAGAAGGGUGGGCGGAAGAUCGGAUUUGACCUUGACUCUGAUGAGAAGGACAGCAGCUACAGCAGGAUCAAGAGCCUGGUCAUCGAGGAGAUGAAGCAGUACUUCCGACCUGAGUUCCUCAACCGUCUCGACGAGAUGAUCGUGUUCAGGCAGCUGACCAAGCUCGAGGUCAAGGAGAUCGCGGAGAUCAUGCUCAAGGAGGUCUUUGACAGGUUGAAGGCCAAGGACAUAAAUCUUCAAGUGACCGAGAAGUUCAAGGAGCGGGUGGUGGACGAAGGCUACAACCCAAGCUAUGGUGCACGCCCGCUGAGGCGAGCCAUCAUGAGGCUGCUGGAGGACAGCCUUGCUGAGAAGAUGCUCGCUGGGGAGGUAAAGGAGGGCGACUCUGCCAUAGUGGAUGUGGACUCGGAAGGGAAGGUUGUUGUGCUCAAUGGCCAGGGCGGCAUACCGGAGCUCUCAACUCCGGCGAUCACCGUUUAGCUCGUACAUGACAGAAGAUGACAAAAUAGAAGAGUUUUUGUUUCAAACACAUUAUCAUAUAUAGUUAGCAUAUAACUGUGUAUAUGUAGUGGUAUAGUCAAAGGGGAAAUCGUUGCUGCCUUUGAAUUCCUUUUCAAAUUCAAGUAUUCUUUUGUCUCAAGUUAAUCUGCCUGGUUAUUGAGGUAUUGUGUACAAAGUGAUGUGAAAAGCUCUUGUCUGUGUACAGGCAUACAUAAAGAUACCUAAAGUAGCACGUAGGCAGAUACAUAGCACGUAGGCAUCAUUCCAAUAGCUAGAAAUAUAUAUUCGAAAUAACGAUUAUCUUAAUUAUAGAGUUUCUUCUCAAAUCGUAUCUUUUUUUAACAAACCUUGUUAAAUUAAAAUAUAGUUAUUAUAUAGAAUGCAUUGUAUUUUAAUACAAAUUUUAAAAGUUAUAAUGUACUCUAUUUUAGUGUGGAGGGAGUAGGCCCGUUGGUUCUAACGGAAAGACUUGUACCUAAAAUACCAUCGGCUGAGAAUACCAAAAUUAUAUAACGAACCAAAAAAAAAACACAAAGAAAGGGACGUACCAUUUUCCAAUUACAGGAGACGGUAAAAAAGCUCCGAAGUUGGAUGAUUAAAAUUGUACAAGAGACUGGAUUCCUGACUUUGGAAACUGCAAUCCGUUUGGAAAUAAGGUGAAGUUUGUUCUCUCUCUUUCCUUUUAAAAAAUAAUGAUUCAUUAGUAUGUAGAUCUGGUAAAAGGGCUAAAACAUUUGGCCUGCAAAUAUUAAGAAAAGAUCGGGCCCAAUAAGGAACGCGCUGAAUUUAUAUAUAUUGUGAGUUAAAAAUAACAAGGGCUGAGUUGGAUUGUCAAAGGGCAAUUAGGCCAUGGGCCAGUACCACCCCAUACUGGAGUUUGCUAUUGCACUUUUGACGUAUCUCUAAACCAACUGUUUUGUGUUGACGUUACUAGAAUUUGUGCACAUACAGACCAUUUUGAGUUUAACACAACAUAUAUAAAAGGAAAAAUUUGCUAUUGGAUAUGCCAAGUGAUGGCUCUUUGUUGGCGGAUACCUAUUUUCAAGCGAUUUCUGAAAGACACUCUAGUUCUUGAUAAAUAGGUUGGUGGACACCAUGCCUAACAGAAUCACACAGUAAAUUACUGUUUUGCACUAAAAAUGAUUAUUUUGUCUCUCUUCAUAAAUAAACAAAGUUAACCAUGGUUAUUUUAUUCAUGUAUUUGUAGGACAUUAAAAAUCUUGGAAAAAUAACAGAAUAUGUACAUCACCAAAUCAUGGCUAUGCUAAAAAUAUCAGCUCAAAAUAAUCAAGUUCAUAAUGGUAUAUUUAGCAUAACUGAGUUAUAGAUUUAUCUCCUAUCAAGCUUAAUUGAUACAUGAAACUUUAUUAUUUUGAGCUAAUAUUUUUAUCAUAGUCAAGAUUUGGUGAUGUACGCAAUCUAUGAUUUUUCCAAGAUUUUUAGUGUCUUAAAACUACAUGAACAAAAUAACCAUGGUAAACUUUGUUUAUUUAUGAAGAGAGGCAAGAUAGUCAUUUUCAGUGCAAAACAAUAUUUUACUGUGUGCUUCUCAUCAUGUAUAGUCUAGAAGAUUGUAUAGUAUAAUUUUGGGGCACUCAUAUGAUUUUAUAUCUAUUUUAUAAAAAUAUUUUGUUAGGCACGGUGUCGACCAACCAAUUUGUCAAGAACUAGAGUAUCUUUUACAAAUCACUCGAAAAUAGAUGUCUACUAGCAAAGAGUCAUCACUUAGCAUGUCCAACAACAAAUUUUGCCAUAAAAGCUAUAUAAAAGUAGCAAACUUAAAAUGGAAGACUUAAUCACCACGAGAAAUUUGACCUAGUCAUAGCUUGUUUAGUUGAGCUGCCUAGUCUAGACAAUAACCUAUCACACCCGGAAGUAAGAGAGCAUUCGGGUGCCAAAUCACUGUGCGCCAGGAUCUCAAAUUCACACACAUGGACCGACAUCAUCAAUGGUACAAAACACAGUGUUCAAACGAAUUACAUAAAUGAGACUAAAUGUACCAUUAUUACAAGCCAAACGUUUAUCAAAGUGCGAAGGGGAAACAUAAGCUAAAUUGUUCCAUAAUAAAAAGGGAAACUAGACGCCGACGUAGCAGGACCACCUUGCCACAGGAAGGUCGACGACAGAACCACACGAGCCUAACAACCAGGAGACUCAGGGUAGUCCUCAGAGAAAUCGCAAUCGUACUCCUGAUCGUCCGAGCAACCUUUAAUGAUUAUAGCAAGGGUGAGCUCAUGUCGAACUCAGCAAGCACAGACGGAAAGUAAUGACAUGCAAGGCUUAAAACAAGGUAAAACUGACUUGGUUUGACUGCGGUAGCAUUUUAGUUGAUCACUUUUAAUUAUGACUAUUAUUAGAACAACCUAUUACUAAUUAUGAGUAGCAUAAACCCAACCCCUUAAUUAGUGUAAGUAGUGAUUAACAUCUUUUAAAUGACUAUCCUAAUAAUUAUAGAAGUCCAGAGAUAAACCCCAAAUAUAACACAGGAUAGCAAUCCUGCCAACACGAAAUAGCCAUUCCGCCAAAAACGAGGUAGCAACCUCGCCAGGUCCAUCUCCAAGUAUCCGGUGAAUCCAGUUGCUCAUCAGGUGAGGGUCUGGGCCGCUCGUGACCGUGAGCCCCUCUUAAAUAUCAGUUUUACACUCUGCAGAGGUGUGCACGUUCACUCCAAGUCGUGAUUCCCAUUCGCCCGGGGUCGCGACUCCCCAAAACACUUCCAAGGUGAGCAGGCAGGGUCUCACUAUGAGACCUUUCACAGGGUCCAACUAAUAGGAUGCCACUCGCAAGUUUUCGCCGGGGCGCUCGACAGUCGAUACCCAUAGCCAUGACGUACCGAUCAACCGACAACUUAAUAUUCAUCACCCAAGUUACUUCCUCACGCCUACCCGGAAAGUAACACCCUACUAGUGGAGGUCCUGCUAAUUAGUCAAGCCAGAGCCAUAUAGCUUGGAGCUGCACUGUAAGUCCCAGGGGGCCGCUCCCUGACUAAGUCCUUACGGAGAGCAGAGACGGGUACGCCCGGCAAACCGGACCACCAACGGUACCCGCUCCCCUGUCACCAACAUCAUCACGAUGCUCGUAAGCAUCCAUCAUCGCCAUCACCGCAGUGAUCAAAGAUUCAGCACAAUUUAAGCAUCAAGUUGAGUAGAGAUUAUUACUUGUUUAGGCUUGUGUAUAAGAUGAGUAGAGCAGCUAAGCAAACCUAGUAUAGCCUAGUCUACCCAUAAACAUAACCCCAGGUGAACAAGGAAUAGUAAGUAAACUAGUCAUGUCCUUAGGGUUUGCAUUCAUUGGACACAUGCAUAUAAAGUAAAUGACAUUAAUGAAUAGGUUCAAAAUGAUCAAACGGUGUCUGCACUUGCCUUGAUCGAUGUCGGGUUGCUCGAACUCAGCGGGAUCCUGAACCUCUUCCUUCACGAACGUCUCGUUGGCUAUACGCGACAAUCAUCAACCAUAGGAACAAUAUAUGCAAGCAAACAAGCUUAAUCAGAAACAGUACACCAAAGCAUGCGAAAACAGAAAGCAACUGUACUACUGUAUUCUACUCGACGAGACGAAACUAUAGCGACCAGAAUCACCUAAAUCGGAGUUACGAUGCAAAAAUUAUGGCUAAAACAAGUUGGAUGGCAGAUCUGUAAAUAAACUGAACUAUUUUUCGUAAUAAAAACUAAUUAAAACUGAAUUAAAACGCAUUUUGGAUUAAAUAUAUAAAAACCAACGGCUACGAGGGCUAUUCUGCAAAAACCCAGGGGCAUAAAUCUAUUUAUUUUAAACUGAGCAGGACUGCGGGUUAAUUUUAAAUAAACCCGAGAGCUUCUUUGCAAAAGCAGCAGGGGCGCGCGGGGGCCGUGGCUGGUCUGGCCACGUGGCGGCACGGGAGUGGCCGGGUCCACGGCGCGGGCUGUGGACCGGGGCGCGGCGGUGGUCCACCGGUCCAUGGUGGACCGGGGCCAGGGCGGAGAGCGGCGUGGGCCGGUUCCACGGUGGACCGGCCGCGCGGGGCAGCAGGCCGCGGUCCACGGUGGACCGCGCGCCGGAGCGAGCCGGCCGCGGCGGCGCGCCAUGGCCGCGGGCCGGAGCUCGCCGGGACGGCGUUUCGGCGCACCAGAGAACGCGCCGAAGGCACGCGCGGGGUCGGCACGACGCGGCGAGGACGGGGCGCGGCUCACCUUCGCGAAACCGGCGGCGCGGAGAGGAGCUCGACGGCGGAGCUCGCGGCGGCGGAUGUCGGCGGCGCUCGGGAUUCGGCGAGUUGGCGGCUAGGGUUCUAGGGGCGCGUGCGGGCGAGUUGCGGCGCUAUUUAAAGCAAGAGGCGAACCUCGGUUUGCGUGCGGCUCGGAAACCGAGGCGGCGCGGCGGCUGCCCCCGUCCGAACCGGACGGGAGGUUGGGGGCGGUCCCGACAGGUGGGACCCACCCGUCAGCGGCAGCGGGCGGCAGUGGGCUGGGGCAGGGGGCGCUGCGGCUGGUGCGCAGGUGCUGUUGGGCCGCGGCUUGGGCCGCGCGGGGAGAGGGGGAGGCGCGGGGCGCGGCUGGGCCGCUGCCGGCCCAGGUGAGGGCUCUCCCUUUUAUUCUUUUUCUUUUUUUUUAAACUUUCUUGCUCCAAAACAAAGCAAAACAAGCACCAGCAAAUAAAUAAAAUCAAGCAAAAAUUAUGCAGCAGCAUGAAUGCAAAAUAAAACAAGUUUCUACCUUAUAUUUCAUUUUAUUUAUUUUUGUAAAUUAUUUAAUAAUUCCUGAAAAUUCAAACUAAGCAAAAAAAUUAAAUCAAAUUUAAACUAAAUUUGAAAUUCAAAAAUUUGGAGUGUUAUAUAACCCUUGGACGUUGUUUUUUCUAUGCCUAGAUUGUGCGUGUGCAUAGCUAUCUCGCUCGGGGUUCCACCCAAAUAGUCCUUAAAUGCUUUAGACAAAGAGAAGAUAUAUAGUGGGGUUUAUGUAGGUGCAUUGAGAAGAGGGGAAUGUGAGCAAUAAGGCCACUCUCAAUUGACACCCCCACAUCUAAGUGCUCCAAAGUAUGGGCUUCAUUGGAUUAAGGCCUAGCAGACAAAUAUUUAUUAGACAAUAAAUUCUGACUCUAGACAUCCCAAAUUGGAUGCAUGGGAAGCCUGUCUGGUAAAGGUAGCGUUUUAAAGUCACAAACCAAACAUGCCCUACAUCGCCCAUCUGAAAAGAAAAACAUUAUAUCCCCAAAUCAAUGAGUUGAUAAUGUUAAUUAGUACAUUCAGUUAUCUAGUCAAUGUUGUUAAUUAGUGCUUUUCUCGCUUGCUCUCUCUGUGUAUUAAUCUUCAGUGACAUAUAUGUGGUUUCACAUUAGUGAUUAGUCUUCAUGUUAUCUUUCGUCUCUAAUAAUGUUACUUUGUGUUUUUUAGCUUACCUAAAAUCCUAGUUUGCCACAUAAUGAUUGUAAUUAGUCCUUUACAUGUUUGCUCUUUCUAUGUAUCAAUUUCCAUUGGGCAUCUAUAUGAUUUAGGAUUAGUCUUCAUCUUAUUUUUGCCCUCUCCUUUGUUCCGAUUAUUCUUGUGUUUUUUUGCUUAUGAAUUAGAUUGAUUGGUUGGAGGUUAGGGACUUAAGACUAAUUACAUUUUGUUCCUCUUUUCUACAUAAGUUUCAGUAAUCCUUUAUUUUAGUUUGUUAAAUUUCUUUGUAUUGCCAAACAAAUGCUAAUUUAAUUGUUAUUUAUGCUCAUGCGAAGUUAAUAAAUGUAUAUGUGUAUAUUUUAUCAUGCAUGAUCGUUGUUGGCCUUGCCACUUGCCAGUAUAGCCCCCGGGUCCUAGCUCUGUUGUCUGUUGUCCCUAGGUCUUGGGUAGAAUACUGAAUUUCAUGGCCAUUCUUCAUUUCUUUUAGAUAAUGGAUAAAAAUAUCGAGUCUCUACAUUCAGGGAUAUACACAGCUAAUUAUUACAAAGUUUAGAGAAAUAAAAGAGAAAGCCAUAGUCUAAUAGAUCGAUCAGGACACUAGUUCAAACAAUAAAAAUGUUUCCAUCAUCUAUUGGAUAUCCUAAAGCAAUUACUUCUAAUUUCUUGCUCAUCGUUGAGAGUGCGUCCUUAACUAUCUCAUCACGCUGCAGCUGGGUGGCCUGGGCCCAAUAUCGUAACCAGUACGCUCCUUUAAAGAUUACCUGCACAAUAGAGUUAGAUUUCAUUUGAUUAAAAAUAACAUCAUUACGGCAUCAGAUAGCCCAGCAGAAGGCAACCACCCCCACCUAAAUCAAAUUUGUAAUCCUUUUAUUUUGAUUAGUUACCCAACUACCAAACAUGUGAUUGAUUGAUCUGGGUUGGGUCAGAUUAGUAGCAAAAAAGAUAAUCCUCCAUAUCGUUUUGGUAAGGGGACAGUCUAGGAAUAAGUGUUGGAUAGUUUCAUUCCCAUUACAGCUGGCUUUCCAAUUUUUUCUGGCGAGGUUGUCUUUGGUUAAGACAACCCCUUUUGCAAGAACCAUCGAAAGAUUUUUAUUUUUAGAGGAAUUUUCAUCUUCUAGAUAUUCCUAUGACGAAAAGGUGUUUGUAUACCUAUAAGAUACAGAUACAUAGAGCGAACAAAGAAUAAAGGCCAUUCUUCAUGGUGGAAGCAACAACCACACAUCCCCACUUCUGUUAAUUAACCUCUCCUUGUAUUUCUCCAGGGCUCAAACAUCAAUUUAUAGGGAUACGUUGUUUCUUUUUAUUUUUCAUGUACUGAUAUUUAUUACAUCUAUUAAAUCGUUUAGAUUUUUCAUAAAUCACCUCAAUGCAUUUCAAUUCUGGCCAUGCCCUUGGACAAUACUAAUAUCGUAUUGGUUGUAAUUAAAUCUGGCUCCAUUUCUGCUAUUACUGAACUUGCUUUUUUUUGUUUUCAAUCUUUUAUUUAUUUCAUACAUGAUAUUCCGUUUCAUUAUUAUUAGCACACAUGAAGUCCUUGCAAAAACAAAAUGAAUGUUGUUCUUGGCAUUCCACGAUUGAGCUUUUUUUACUACAAGAAUCAAGGAGCUGUGGUGCUAACAAGUAUUAUUUCCAGGGUAAAAUGCGCACAGUGUUUCUGCUAUUCAUUCCAGACCAGCGUAAAUCCUUCUCCUGUAAUCGGUGAGCCUCUCUAUCUGUCUCAUGGCCGCUGGGUCGCCAUUGCCCCUUCUCAGCUUGGCGAUCUGGCUAUCAAUGCUCUUAAUCUGCAUACAAGUAAAUCCCCAUUGCUGAUUACUUUACUUUAAUUAAUAGUAACAAUGUGUGUGUUUAACAAAUCAUUAUCAGGAGAUACAAAUUCAAGAGAUUAGGAAGCAAAAAUCAAGGAGCUAGGUUAGGUACCUUCCGGUAAGGCCAGCGUCGUAUGUGGAACUUACGGCUAGUGCCCUUGAGGACAGUGGUACAGAUGCGGAGUUCCUUAGCAGCCUCCACCAUCGGGAGGUGAAAGUAGCGUGCAAUGUCGUCCAGCUGCAGGUUGCUCGCUCUCUCCCUCUGCAACAUGAUGAGAUUAUUACCAAACUCCUCUUAAAUAGAUGCAUUUUUUAAUUGGCAUAGUAAUAUGAAUGUUGCUUUGUCCUAAUAAAGGAGAGAUAAUUAGACAUCUUUUGUUGAAUGAACGUUGCUUUAUUCCUAGUAAUAUAUGGUCCAUCAUGUAUAUAUGGUUUCAGAAAUUUCUUUCUCGACCAGUCGGUCCUACUAUAGUGUUCAAUUCUAUAUAAAUGAUUUUUAAAGGCACCUCAUUUUUCUCAGAGGUGGAUAUUGUCUAAAGGAAUUUGGUAUCUGUCCAUACUAAUAUAUACUCCCUCCAUACCCAUAAAACUUAUCGUUUUGGACAAGGUUUGGGUUAAACAUUGGGAAUAUAAAUUACGAAUAACUUUUAAGUUGUUGAGUUUAAAAAUAUGAAAACUAUAUAAAUAGAUUUGUCUUGAAAAGUACUUACAUAAAAGUAUAUCUAUACCACUUUUUGAUAAAUAUUUCUAUAAAAACAAGAAGUCAAAGUUAGACUUUGGAGACCGUGCCAGUCCAAAACGACUUGUUUUAUGGGUAUGGAGAGAGUAAUUUCUAGGAGCUAGCGAGUCACCUUACCAUUCACCCCCUAAGAAUUUAUUCUCAAAGGAUGGUUCGCGUAAGAUGGACCAUCUCUAAAAACAGGGGUUGCCAAAAUAAAUUCAUAAUAUUUUCAAGUUAUAUGAAGAUAAACUAUAUAUCUCAAUUGUACAUGUUGAUGAGAUUUAAAACUUUAUAGUUGCUAACUUUUUUAUUUAAGAUCUUUCAACGUCCAAAUAUGUUUUAUGUUCUUAAUUUUCAAUUUUUUUUUUUCAAAUGAACGGAUAGAUACACAUGCCCUAUACCAAUUACAAAAAUUGUAGUGUUGCAUGAGACCUAGAACUUUGUAGUUACUAAUAUUCACUUGACGCAUUUGUAGGCCAAAUGGAUCAUGAGAAGUACAAUAUAUAUAUACCUGGAUCGCGAGUGCAGUCUUGGCAGCCGGGGGAAUCUCUUGUCGUCGUCCUUGCUCCUUAGCAUCUGGUUUAGACGAUGGCCCUGUAGAUUUGAAACGGGGGAAUAGCCAAAUUCAUCUCUGAACAUCGUAAAAAGCUCAAUUUCGUUCUUGAACUAUGAAAACGGCCGUUCUCAUCCUUGAAGUUUUACGGCCAGCUCAAUUUAGUCCCUGGAGUGCUACGCUGGCUCACGUCGACAUCGCCCAGUCAGCUAGGGCUAUGAGUUACUAUUUUUGCCCUUGCCUCUUGGCCAUCUCUCGAUACUGUAGCUGGAGGACUUUUUUUUCUGAAAUCUUACUGUUUUUGUCCUUGCCCCUUGGCCAUCUCUCAUGGCUGAUAUUGUAGUAGGACUUUAUUUUCUAAAUCUUUCUCAUUGAAUAAGAAACGAGUUGUGAACUGUGCAUUAACUAUAUGUGUAGCAGUGAUAUAUAGUCUCGUAUAUGAAAUCAUUAAAACAUUAGUACUUCCCCUGUCCAAUAAAAGAUAUAUCAUUCUAGUAGAUUUGUUCCAAAAUGACCAAAUCAAACUAUUUCAACUUGACUAAUUUUAUAGAGAAGAUUGUCAAAGCUAAUGGAAUAAAAAAAAGUAUGUUUGAAAACAAGUGUAAUACUUAUUUGGUAACAUAAAUAUCGGUGUUCUUUAAAUAAAUUAAGUUAAAUUUAGGAUAAUUAGACAUAGGACAGAAAUUAUAAGGUUUUUUAGAUGAACUUAAUACUAGAUCUUAUUAGUUACUACUCUCCAUUCAUUUUAAAUUGUUAUAUAUCCUGGUGCGUGACAAAAGCUAAUGUAAUAAUUUGAGAAACUAGACUGACUUUAUGCACAUAGUGAAAGUCUUAAGAGAAACACAUUUUUUUUGCUUGCAUUAACGACAAUCUCUGUCGGUAUUGGCUUGUGAUCCUUGCAGUCUUGUCUUUUCUUUUUUUACAAGAGUUUUGGUGCCUUUUUAUCAUCAACAAUGAUUUUCUAAGCGUUUGCCUUUGACCCAAUGCCUUGCGUAAGGGGUGGUCACAACUAUAGGCCUGCAGUGAUUACAACAUCAGCCAUGAGAGAUGCCUAAGAGGCAAGGACAAAAAUGGUAAUUCAUAACCCUAGUGAUGAUGGUGUGAGUAGCGUGGCUCUCUAGGGAUGAAAUUGAGCUGUCUGUGAAAGUUCGAGAAUGAGAACGACCGUUUUUAUAGUUUAAGGACGAAAUUGAGCUUUCGACCAUAGUUCAGGGACGAAUUUGGCUAUUCCGCCAUUUGAGACGGUAUAUAUAUAUGGAGACUUGGUACGUAACGGAAUAAACAACAACAUUAAGUUAUGAAACAUAUCUAGUGCAAACCACAACUUCCGUGAAAACCUGUGCAAACCAUGACAAAAAAGUUGUAUAAAUUCAUCAAAAAAAUCACACAUGUAGAUGAUUUGAUAAUACACAACAUUGUAAAAUAUCUUGUCCAAACUCAACUUUGUUUGUGAGAUAUAAAAAUAACAAAUUUCAAGCCAGAAAGGGAUCCACAGAAUUUGCUAGAAAUUUGUUAUUUUUAUAUCUCACAAAUGAAUUCGAGUUUGGAUAAGAUAUUUUGCAAGGUUGUGUAUCAUCAUAUCAUCUACAUGUGUGAUUUUUUUGGUAAAUUUAGAUGAUUUUUUUGCCAUGGUUUGUAUAGGUUUUCACGGAAAUUGUGGUUUGCACUAGAUAUGUUCCCUAGUUUAUGAAAACUAAAAACGAGAAGAUCGAGCAUAGUUAUGAUCAGUUGUGCAGCAACCAACCUGCAGACGUUUCUGCCGGCACGCUGCCCUGCUCGACCAUAGCAGGCUGCACAGCGCCUCCGUCAUCAUCAGCAGGACGGCUGCCGACUACUCGUUGGUGGCCGCCAUUAAUCUCUGGUGCCACUGCUUCACGGUGGUCAUCGGCGUGGCCACCAUUAAUCUCUUGUGCUACAGCUUCACGGUGGUCGUCGGCAUGGCCACCGGAGACGACCAUGCUGGUGCACAGGGCAUCCUGGAACGCCGAGAUGGAGUCCUGCAGGACGACGUAGCCGCCGCCAGCGCGCUGCCGUGCGUAGUUCGUCAGGUAGUGCUUUACCCACACGUAGUCCCGGCCCCUGAAACUGCUCAGAUCAUCAAUGCAAUCAUCAGAUUACUAGUAGAGAUGAUGAUGCAUCUGAAAAAACUGCAAAACAUGUACAAUAUGCAUGAAAUCUAGGAGUUAUCCAAUGCAGCUUACUCGACGUAGGACUGAUGCGUCAGUUGUGUUGUCAUCGUCGCUGCCUGCAGGCCGUUGGAGUCUAUGCGAUACACCUCUAGGGUUGCAUGGUGGAACACGCCGGCGGCGACCCCAUGGACACCUAACUUCGUCGCUUCAAGCCCUAGAAAUUCAGUUCGCAGCCAAGACGUAAGCAUGUUUGAUCGAUCGGCGUCCGUGUCCCUAUGUAAGGAUAUAUAUAUGCCAGUAGCAAGUGUGUCUACCGUUGCAGUGCACAAUUUCUCGAAGAACCUGGCAGCCGGUGCAGUCUAACGACGCGUUCUGGUGCACGGCAGACGACGACGGCGGCGGCGGCGGCGGCCUUGGUGCGGCUGCCGACGACGUACCUGCAACGCCCAUGUCUUGCCGACGACGACGUCUUGCGCUACUAGUAGUAGGAUCGUCGGCAAGCAGGGUGGCAUUAUUGUGCAUCGGAUCCCUGUUGUCGACGACGGAGUCGUUGAUGUAGUCCAGCGUUGGUGGCGGCCACUCUAGGAGAUUAUUGUCGCCGGAAGGACCUGCUGCGACGGCGCUUUGCCCCGGUGCUGCCUGCAGCGGCGGCGGCGGCGGCGGCGCGUCCAUUCCGCCGUUCAUGUCCAGCAAGUUGAAGACGUCGUCAUCGAAGUCGUCGUCCGGCACAAGGAACGGGUCGUAGAUCCCUUGCCCGUCGUCGUCGGCACCGCCGUCGUUGUGGGCGCCGUCGGCCAUUAUUACGUGUACGUAUCGGCGGAGCGCGCCGCACGCGCUGCCGGCCGAGGGGUGGUGGAGGCCAGUGCGCGCGCGUGAGAGAAAUGGCGGGAGAUCGAGUGUGUGGCGGUUUUGAUGACGGGCCGGGGAAGAAGGCGGUUAACACAUUUUUUAUCGGACCGUUUACACUGUCGUCUGUCUUAUCAGGACGCGUGUUCUAUAUAUCCAAGCGAUCACACUCAUGCGCAUGUUUUCUUUCGAUUAGUUAAUAUUGUUUUUGUGUUUCUUUCGUUACCAUUAUUAAUUUUGUGUUAAAUAAAGUCCUUGCAUUAGUGGAAUUAACUUGAUUCAUUUUAAUUUUAUCUUGCAAAAGUGUAUUUGGAGAGGGGACGCCAGUGCACUUAAGCUUAUGGUGAGAUCGUCGAGGCCCAUCUCCAUCCGUUGAUGCUUGCAUGGCUGAUGUAUCGGGUGUCUCUCACGGAAACUCCAAACCGCUUCGGCUUGCGGACGCAGCUUUUAUCUUUCACCGUUCAACUUGCUUCAAGAUUUGUGCGCCGGCUAACUCCUGCUUCACACUCUUCCCAUUCCCAUGCUGUACUCCCUCCUUCUCACUCAUUCAUCCUACUCAAAGCUGGUCGCCGCUCCCAUCCAAUGAAAAGACGACAGCACCUGCCACCUGCUUGCGCUAGUACCAGUCUGGGCUGUAGCUGACAACCGCGGGUUCAAAAGUACUCUCUACUUAGUCAUUCCAAAAAUCUUAUAGGAUCAAAACAUGUACCAAAUUUAUAUAAUAAAAUAAUAAUAUUUAUGAUACCAAAUACUAUUAGAUUCUUUAUUAAUUAUAUUUUUACAGUACAUAAAUAUUUAUAAUUUUUUCUACAAUUUUAGUUAGAAUCGAAAUAUUUUGACUCGACUCUUAGAAUGACUUAUAAUUUAGUAUGGAGGUAGUAGUACGGUAUACCAGUACUAAUCCCUCAAUCCACAAAUAAAUGACGUAAUAUAUAUAAAAAUAUACUAAUAUUUAUCAUGUGUAAUAUGUAUCAUUAGAUUGAGUAUGAAAUAUAGUUUCAUAAUAUACUUAUUUGCAAAAACAAAUAUUAUGAUUAUUUGAUAUAUUUCUAGUCAAACUUUAAAAAGUUUAACUUCUCGAAUAGCACGUACUCCCUCCGUCUCAUAAGGCCUUGUUUAGUUACAUCCAAAACCCAAAAACUUUUUAAGAUUUUCUGUCACAUCAAAUCUUACAGCACAUGUAUAGAGCAUUAAAUAUAGAUAAAAAAACUAAUUAUACAAUUUGCCUGAGAUUUGCAGGAUAAAUCUUUUGAGCCUAUUUAGUCUAUGGUUGGACAAUAAUUGUCAAAUACAAAGAAAAGUUUUACAGUACCCAAAAACUUGCUGAGCCAAUAUCAUUAACAAAUGUGUAAAUAUUCGAUGUGAUAGUUGUUAAAAAACAAGACUAACCAAAUAAGGCCGUAUCUGAUACUAAUUAGUAGUAUUCAACAUAAAAAAAAUUAGAAAACUAAUUUUAUAAAAAAAGACUGAUUCGCAACACACAUCAAUUAAGCCUAACGAAACCGUAAUUAACCCAUGUGAUACUAAAAUGAACAUUUGUUAAUAAAUGUUUAAUUAAACUUAAUAGAUUCAUUUUCUUGAAUUAGAUACAACUUAUACAAUCAGUUUUAUAAUUAAUUUAUGUUUCUAAUUAGCAUCUAUAUAUCUAGUAUGACAUCAAACUCAGGCGCCAGCACCAAUGUUCUAUGAACCAAGAACUAUUUAAGGUCUUGUUUAGUUCACCCUAAAAUCCUAAACUUUUUCAAUAUUCUUCAUCACAUCGAAUCUUACGACACAUGCAUAAAACAUUAAAUAUAAAUAAAAAAUAACUAAUUGUACAGUUUGUCUGUAAUUUGCGAGACGAGUUAGUCAAUAGUUAGAUAAUAAUUAUCAAAUGCAAAUGAAAUUAUAUUAGUGUUAAAAUCCAAAAACUUUUUAGACCUAAAAGCCUAUUCAUUUGUCUUAUAAAGUCAUAUUUUUUCAACCAACCAACAGUGUUAAUAUAGGUGCACAGAACUAAUAGAUUUACAACUGCAAAUAGGUGAUAAGCGAAUAAAGAAAAAUGAAAAAUCAACCAUGUCGAGUACAUAUACCAUAAAAUUAAGUACAUAUACCAUGAACUAAAUUCAUGGUGGAUGGAUGAGCUCAGAAUUGACGAACAAAUAGUAAAGCCAAUAGACAUGACGGUGCGCAGGUCAUUAAAAUGUACUAUUAUUUUUCAACUGCAUAUAUCAUAAAGCAAAUCAGUGGAUUAAGGGCACUCUCAAUGUUUCUAGUUAAUUUGUACAGACAUUAUAUAUAGAAACUAUGGUCCCAAUAGAUAGUUUCUAUAUAAUAAAUUUUUAUCCAAUCACAUUCAUUCUCUCUCCAUUCUCAACCAAUCAUAUCACUUCAUGUCUUGGAUCUCGUGUAGACAUAAUUUCUAAUUUAGACUCAGUUUCUAUGAUUUUUGCUCUCUAUCUUCAAUAACUACAUUGUCAUAUCAGCAAAAUGCUUAGACGGUAACAUAAUUAAUGUCUAUAGAAAUUAUGAUGAUUUCAGCAUUGCAAGUGCCCUAAUCAUUAUAAAUGACUGACGGUGCGUAGGUCAUUAAAUCUUAACUGGCUGGAGGGCUAAGAAUGUAUUUAUGCAAAAAAAAGUUUCAUCUAAGCCAUUACUUUUAAAGAAAGUGACAACCAAUUGUAUAACUGCUAAUUUGUAGGAUAUCUGGAAAGAACAUGUUUUAUUUUACAAAAUUGAAGCUGGGAAUAUUCUAAAAAAAGGUAGUACAUUUCAGUAGGAGAUAUGAUUACAUAGUACUUCCACAGUAAAUAUGACAUCAGUUCAAGGCAGAUGAUUUCAGAACUGGAUCCAAUUCAGAAAAAACUAAUUUUUUUUAGAUAAUGGAUGAAACAUCCGGCUUCAUCUAUCCAAAGAUAGAAUCAGACCAAUUAUUACAAAACUUUCACAAAGGGCAAAAGUAAAAGCUGCGACAGAAUUGCAGCCCACAAGAAGGAAAAGGAAACAUUCGAAGUAAAGUUUGAAACUAAGCAUGACCAAUAUAACUUGACGAUAACCACCCAUUGGAACUAAAAAAAUGCAAGGCCGACGUUUCUAGGACCUGCCCCACGAGAUUUAACUGCUCCCAUUGAUCGUCAUGCCGCUGCAAGUGUGCCCACUGUCGAAGCCAGUGUGUUCCCUGAAGAGUACCUGCAAGAAAGAUUUUGGUCUGCAUCUGUCAAAAACCACUUCGUUUCGGGUUAUCCAAAUUGCCCAACAGAGCGAUGCGGCUGCCGUUAAUAACAAUGAAUUAUACUUUUUCGUCUAAAAGAAUAUUAAAUGGAGUUGAACCGAGCACUUGUGCAACAGAAUCAUCCUUUCUCCGUACAAUAUUAAACAAUGAAGGAAAUUUAUCCUUAAGAGGUUUAUUUCCCAACCAAGUAUCACUCCAGAACCUGGUUUGAGAUCCAUCUUUAAUCUUAAAUGAGCCAAGUUCCAAAAAAGAAUCUUUGACAUUCAUUAGGCUUUUCCAAAAAUGCGAAUCCGAUGGUUUUUUAACAUAACUUCCUAAAAUCUUAUUUUUAAUAUACUUUUUUCUUAAUAAUUCCUGCCACAUGCCGUCCUCGUUCAAGAAUUUGAAUAACCACUUACUUAAUAAACACUUAUUUUGUGUAUCCAGAUUUUGAAUGCCAACCCCACCUUGACUCUUUGGCUGACAUAACACCUCCCACUUUGCCAACCUAUAUUUUCUUUUAUGCUGAUCAUUUUGCCAAUAGAAUCGAGAUCUGAAGCAAUCUAUUUUUUCUAACACACCACGUGGAACUUCGAAAAACGACAUCAUAAACAUCGGUAAACUAGACAGCACCGAGUUUAUAAGAACCAGUCGCCCUCCUACAGAUAACAUUUUCCCUUUCCAGCCACUCAGUCUCUUCUCAAUUCUAUCUUCGAUAAUCUUCCAAUCAUUAUUAUUUAACUUUCUAGUGUUCAUAGGAAGUCCCAGAUAAUGGAAUGGGUAAUUACCGACCACACAACCAAACAGUUGCGAAUAGAACUCCUCGUAUUCUUUUGCUUCACCAAAGCAAAAGAUUUCACUUUUAUGAAAGUUUAUCUUUAGGCCCGAUAAUUGCUCAAAGGUUGUCAAUAACAGUUUCAUAUUGACUGCCUUCUCAAUAUCAUGGCUCAUAAAGAUGACUGUGUUAUCCGCAUACUGAAGGAUUGACAAACCAUCCUCGAUUAAAUCAGGAAUAACCCCCUCGACCUGACCUUCCUCUUUCGCUCUGGCAAUUAGAAUGGCUAACAUGUCGACUACUAUAUUAAAUAGUAUCGGCGACAUAGGAUCACCUUGUCUAAGGCCUUUUUUGGUCUGGAAGUAAGAACCUAAUUGAUCAUUCACCUUAAUGUUAACAUUGCCCCCUUCAGUAAACCUCUGUACCCACUGACACCAUUUUUGUGAAAAACCUUUUAUUCUCAAAGUUUGUUGUAAAAAACUCCAUUUAAUCUUAUCAUAGGCUUUUUCAAAGUCUAUUUUGAAAAUCACGCCGUUCUUCUUUUUGAGUGUAGCUCGUGUAUUGUUUCAUGCAAAAUUACCGCUCCCUCCAUAAUAUUCCUUCCUGGCAGAAAGGCUGUCUGAGUAGGUCUAAUUAUUUUCUGAGCUAUGGAAGUCAAUCUGUUGGUUGCGACUUUAGUGAAGAUUUUGAAAGAUACAUUCAGUAAACAGAUAGAUCUGUAUUGCUGAAUGACUCUCGCAUCCUUCUUUUUUGGCAACAAAAUUAUAGUUCCAAAAUUAAGGCGAUUCAAAUGCAAAUUACCUUGAUGGAAUUCCGAGAACAAAGCCAUCAGAUCAUCCUUUAUAACAGACCAGAAAACCUGAUAAAACUCUGGAGAAAAGCCAUCUAGGCCAGGCGCCUUAUUAUGUUCCAUCUGGAAAAUCGCAACCCGCACUUCUUCUUCCAAAAAAGGUUGGGUUAGAAACUCAUUUUCCAGUUCGGAGACUUGUGGAAUAUCACCGGUUUGAGUCUCAUCUAGCUCGAUCGGAGUGAUCUCUGGUGGACCAAACAAAUUCUUAUAAUAACCAGUAAUAUGCGCUUUUAGUUGUGCAUCACCAGUUAUUAAAUUAACCCCAUCCUCCAACUGAAAAAUUCGAGUUUUUCGAUGCCUGCCAUUAGCCAUUAAAUGAUAAUAUUUUGUGUUUGCAUCUCCUUCUAGAAGGUCUUUUAAUUUUGCUCUUUGGUACCACUUUAUCUCCUCUUCCCUCAACAGCUCAGACAAUCGUUCGUUGAGUACAUGUUUUAAAUCCACCUCCUGCUGAGUAAGGAGCAUUAUUUCCGCUUUUUUAUCGAGGGCAUCUAGUUUAUUCAGAAUUGUUUCUUUUUCCUUUUUAUACACGCCACUGACAUUUCUUGCCCAUCCUCUUAGAUAUUGACGAAGCCUGCUUAUUUUGGCUUGCCACCGUUCUAUAGGCGAGCCACUGACUAUUGUACUUUGCCACACAUCCUUAACCAUCUCACAAAAUCCUUCCCUCAGCAACCAACCCAAUUCAAAUUUGAAUUGAGGCUGAUAAUUUGAGGACGGAUUAUUUGUAGAAAAUAGCAGGGGUGUGUGAUCCGAAAUUUCCCUAGUCAGUGCUUGAACAGUGGUAUGCGAAAACUUAGAUUCAAAAUCUGUACAAACUAGAACUCUAUUUAAUCUCUCAAAAGUCUGAAUUGGUAAAUUAUUUGCCCAAGUGAAAUUACGCCCGGACAUCUCAAUCUCUCUCAAGUUUAAAGAGUCAAUCACCGCAUUGAAUAAAAAAGGCCACCUAUUAUUAAAAUUAGCAUUAUUUUUCUCUUGUGGUCGCUGUAUGAUAUUAAAGUCGCCCCCUAUAAUUAUAGGUAAAGCUUCCUUAGAACAUACAUUGACUAUUUCAGAUAAGAACAGAGAUUUAUGUUCUACUUGCGCCGGGCCAUAAACUGAAAUCAAAUUAAACUUAAAGUCAUCCUCUCUCCGCCUGAUCUUAAAGCGAACAAAAAAAUCUCCUUCCUCAAUCUCCCCUAUAUCAAAGUUAAGAAGAUUAAUACCUAGUAACAUACCCCCAGACCGUCCCCGCGGAGCCAUACAAUGCCAUAAAUAAUCUCUGCCAGCACAUAUAUUAUUUAAAGUGGAUUGUGGAAAAUUUGCUCUACCAGUUUCCGACAAGGCAAUGAAAUCUAGGUUCUUCUCUUUUGUUAACUCAUUCAAAAAUCUAUACUUUUUACAGUCCGCAAAUCCAUUACAAUUCCAAAAAAUACCCUUCAUUGCGACCGACUUUGUGAUUUGCGAUUCUUCUUCCUAGAGCCUUUUACAGAUGAUAAGGGGGUUUGAAGACCCUUAGGGUCACAACCUCCAUCACCUAAACCCUCUGCUAUCUCCGAGCAAAUUAAAUUAAGUGCAUCCAAAUCCAGAGAAUCUUCGAAAGAACAAGCUGAAGCAUCGUCCAAAAUCUCUUUAUUCGAAGUAUCAAUUGUUUUAAAUUCAGCUAUACGUUGUAAUUCUAAAUUUCUUAAAUUUUCUAGUGAAUUAUGAAUCUGAGUAGAAUCAUCCCCUAACCGAACCCCUAUAGAAUUGACUGAAAGUAAAAGACUAUUGUCAUCCCGGGAAAUAAAAGAAAGUGUAAGGGGAUUUUUACCUUUAUCAUUAGCGAUCUCCAGGUUGUGGCGCGCUUUCAACUUUGUUGCCUUCUCUACCGAGUCUUGUUCUGAAGUUGCGGCCGUCCUCUUACUUGAUCUCACAGGAGACACUGUCCCACCUUUCUGUCCUUUCAGCUUGUUAAGCUUGGCAGAGUCAUUAUUUGGGUUCAAAAGCUUGGCAUUCCAAUCACCAGUUGGCUCGGCGGUCAUCAAUAUCACUGGAUUUGGUUCUCCAGGCUUACUGUUAUUUUUUGCAGCUUCAACAGAGGGGCUAUCCUGCUGACUUGUUCCACUAAUACCAGCCUUCUUUGUAGGAUGUGGUGUCUGAUCCGCUUUUUUUUUAUCUAUGUCCAUCGGUUUGUCACCAUUUCCCUCCUCUUUAGGGUCAUCAUCAUUAGGAUCAUCAUCCUCAUUAGGCUCUUCAUCUUCCAAUUUAGAAUCAAGAUCAAGCAAGAUUGGCUCACCCUCAGGCGCCUCCUGCUCCACCCCAAAAUGCAACUGGUAGAUAAAUUCCCCAACGACCACAUCUACAAAAGCUGGAAUUAGAGCAGAAUCUAUCACUGCUACUCUCAUUCUUGAUCUCCCAAAUUUUUUUGUAAACUUAAUGUCUACAGAUUUGGGUACACCUAGAAUUGAGGCAAUUGCCCAAAUAAUGGGAAAUUCCCUAAAUUCACUAGGAAGUCCCCGAAACUGUACCAAACUUUCUCAAUCUCGUACUUGUAAACAUCCUCUUCUGAGCUUUUUUCAAAUUGAAUUUUUCCUUCGAAAGACUUUGUCACCAUAGGGCCCCAAUUGACCACAGUGUCAAGCCAAACAGUGGAGGGGAAAUUAGUGGUGAAGGCAUCUUUUCCUUUCUCCUCAAUCUCCCAUUUGAACUUCCCUGGUAGUAGUUUUUCCAGUUCCACUGCUAACAUUCCAGCAGUAAUGGAACCUUCCAAUACACGUACCACUGCGGAUUUCUCUUCCACUUUAUCUUUUUGAAACUCAGAAAAAACAGGGAUAUAAUAAAAUCCAAGCCCCUCCACAGCAUAGCCAUAAGGAAGAGCAGAUAAAUUAGUCUUUUUUGCAUAAGAACAAGUUUUCGCGACAUGCUCUCCGCAGCAAAAAUGACAAGAAAGAACUGCUGUGCACUCAUGACUUGUGUGCCCUUUAGUGAGACACCUGAAACAGAAAGGCUUGCCCUUGCUCUUUUUAAUACCCUUGGAUGACUCUGGUAAAUCAACAUUCAUUGGCUCAUUGUCAGGAUUAUGUGGGACAGUGUCUUUUGGUACCUCAGCUGUUGUCUUGUUUUCAACCGGACAAUGCGGUGAAAGUUCCAGCUUGCUCCCCUGCUUGUGUAGCCCAGCGGGAGGGGCCUGGUGAAGCUCCUGGCCAGCCGAGGGGUGGCCGGGCUGGGGAUCGGCGAGCACUGCUGAGCCAAGAUGGUUAUCGGCUGUAACAGCGAUGGGGACACCUCCUGUGGCAGACUUGGUACCCGUUGCAGGCACCGUGGCGUGCUGUUGCUGGGCACCCAAGUUAUGCCCCAUCUGGUCAGCAAUGUGGGCUCCGGUGCCGUAGUUCCCUCCCCCCAUCGGAGUUGGGUUUGGGGUCGCCUGCUGUUGGAACUGUUGACCUCCAUAUCCUGCACCUCGGCAACGCUUGCCACCAUAGCCGCCAUAGUAUGGACGACGGCCACGAUUAGCACCGUGAAAACCUUGGUACCCAUAGUUGUUCUGGCUGCCAUAACCACCAUAGCCACCAUAGCCGCUACGACCUCCACCCACGAUUAUGGGGAAAAGACCCAUAGCCACGGCCGCCUCUCCCUGCAAAACCUGGAUCAAACCCCGGAUUGAAACCAGGAUUAAACCCCGGGCCUCCCCUUCCGCCUCCUUGCUGCCCGAACCCGCCACCAUUAGCGCCCCCUUGCGCCGCCAUCCCUUUUCCUUUCACUACUUCGGCAAAGGAACGCCGACGUGGGGAGGGAGCAGUCGGCGGCGGCAGACUUGGUUUACGGCUGCGACGUGAUGCAGUACGAAGAAAAAGAGAACACAAACCCUUUGUGGGCCUAUAGAAUUUGCCAGGCCCAAAUUGAUACCGGUUAAAUUUGUCAAGUUCGCGAGAUUUAUUUGGAACCGAAUCUAUCGCCGAAAGAAAUUCUCCGUUGCACACGGUGGUGUUCACCGUAAGUGGGGCUGGAGCUAACGGAGGAAACGGAUCCUGAUUCCUGAAAUCUCGCCCUUGUUGUUUUUCAAAGUUUUUUGAAAAAAUCGACAUUGAAUCUCUAACAGCGCUGCCCAGCUCGGGACUUGCAAAGGAGCUCCACCAGUAAUCUUCCGGUUCACUAAAUUAGAAACGAUCGAGUGUGCAGACUUGAGUUUAUCGGAAGUGUUACCUGCGUUCAGAGCAUCUUCCGCUGCGACGAGCUCAUCAAUGGAGUACCCUGCUUCAAGCGCCAGCUGCACGAACUCGGGUGUAGAAGGAUCCUCGUCCUCGGAAUCAUCCAUUGCAUCAGUAGUGGCCCAAAACUUUGAGUGGAUUGGUUGCGCUGCAUGAAUUGGCUUUGGCCGCUGGGUCACUGCCGUAACCAUCUCCACGCACUGAGAUAGUUCUUCGCGGCCACGCUUGACCAGCAGAUCAGCAUCUGGACCAUCUUCUUCCACCACCAAGUUCGACGGAAUCACCUUACGGGAG